CAUUUUUGCUUUUAUAUUAAUGAAAUCCUGGUAGAAUAGUUGAAAUCAUUGUUCUGUCAAAAAGAAUAUUCGUAGAAUUAAUUUUAAGACAAUUAACCGUGAAACUCAAAACUUAUGCAAUUUUUCUAAUAAAAUGGGUUUUUCCUUCUCAAUUAUUGAGUGUCUGCAAUGAAAGUGUUUCCGUUUUAAAUUUGCUCCUACACCGGUGGGGAGUGGGUGUUUUAGCCGAUUCUAAAAUUUCAAAUUUUGCUAAAACUGGUAUACUUAAAACCAAUAUUUACGCCUGAACCGUUGCAGGUGCUCUAAGUAGUCCUCUUGCCUCUUUCCUUUCCUAAAAGUAGUUUGAAUCCUAACAAUUGAGCCUCCGCGACUAUUACUGCUCUCUCUCUUACUAACAUAGUAUAAUGAAGUGGAUACACUCGGCAAAAUGAAACUUUAGAUGCUAAACGCCAGACACUGUGUGUUUUGGUGAUCGACUAGUGACAGAAAAACUUUGACAAUUAUCGCUCAUUCUCCAUCUAUAGACUGUUCCAGAAAUAAUAAGCACACCUAAUGUUAAAUAAGGUCAUUUUGAAUAGGUACUUAGUUGUUUUUCGAAUUCUACUUGCUGCGUCCUUUUGUUCACACUUCUGUACGUGAUAACAUAAAGAAAAAUAUUGAGUUUGUGAUUACAUGUCAAAAUGUGUGGUCUUACUCCGGAGAAGAGAAAAAGUAUCGUGCACAAGUGGUCUAAUGUGAGUGGAAUCACAUUGAGGAAAUUGGCCAAAAAAAAGGAUAUGAAUCUCGGAGCGGUCGGAAAGCUAUUAAAAUAUGGUGAACAUUGUACAUUUGAAGAUGAACCGAAGGGUGGUCGAAAAUCUGGACCUGUAAUCCUGCUAUCAACAAAAAGGGCAGGGAUGCCCACAAACAGAACCCAUCGGCUUCCGUUCGGGAUGUGGCGAAAAAAGUCGGGACCUCGACGUCUAAGGCCGAUGACAUAGUGAGAGCUUUACGGCUCACGUAGACUACGCCUGUGAAAGAGCGGCAAUGGCGACAGCAGCCCUCUCACCGGCCAUGUCGAACAACUCGGUGAUCCGCUGCAGCAGAAGGAGGGUCCUGGCAAGUGUGACCUCGUCCAUUCUGCGGUACGGAGCGGCAGCCUUGAGCAGGCAGUAUAACCUGCAAAAGCUCUGCAGUGUACAGCGGCUGAUGAACCUGCGAGUAAUCAGCGCAUACCGAACAGUGUCCUCGGUAGCCGACGGUAGCUGCUGAUGUUGUGGCGGGGGUCAUGCCCAUCUCGGUCUUGCUAGAGGAAGAUACCUUCUGCUACGAGCACAGGCACAUGCCCGACGUGCGGAAACAUGCCAGAGAGGCCUCGCUGUCCAACUGGCAGCACCAGUGGGACAGCUCGGAACGUGGCCGGUGGACCCAUCGCUUGAUCCCUAUCAUCAGAUCUUGGAUGGACCGGAGACAUGGAGAGGUGGAUUUCUGCAUGACACAGACACUGGUCACGGAUGUUUCAUGCAAUACCACCAUCGGUUUGGACACGUGGCCUCGCCAUCCUGUCCAACCUGCGGUGACACAAUAUAGACACCAGAGCACGUAGUGUUCAACUGUCCGAGGUUCGAAGGGGUACGUGCUAACAUGCCGGACCAGUGUAACACUGUUACAUGUUGUAAAUAUUUACCUAGAUAUAUUUGUAUACAUUUCGUUAUUUAUUUAUUUAUUCGUGAUUAGUACAAUUACUAUUGAUAACAUUAACCAAGAGCAACAAGACAAAAUAAGCCUUUUCAAAAUGCUAUUACAUAGAAAGGUAUGCAUUCAGACCACGCGCUUCACUUCAUAACACUGCAUCCAAUCUUACAUACCAGUUCUUCUUCAUAGGAAGUCGAACUUAAUCGGGACUAUUUCAGGCGUUCUUGAUUUAGCGUCGCCUUCAGAGUUUGACCUCGUAAAUGUUGGGAUCCAAGGGCGGAUCGAAAUGAGAGGGUAGAUUGAUUUUAUGUGGGAAGGAAAGGGAUGCUACCAACCCGUGCCGAGAGCGCAUCUAUGACAAACACCGACGCUUGAAAGGUCGAUGACCGCCUUCGGGGAUCAUCGGAAUUCCUUUGAAAAAAACCAGAUUUUCCAAACUUGCGACCUUACUGAGGAUCCCAGGAAUUCACCUCUUCCACUUUGAUCCUGACCGUGAUUUAAGCCCAAGCGAGUGUUUUUGUACUUGGCCGCGUUUCGUAGAUGUAAUGUGAACACGUGAAGUGUCCUUCUAGAUUAGAUUUAAUUGUUCCAUAAUUUGUUCUUCGUUAACAGGACGAUUUAGUUUAGCUAGCUAGUUGUCGUGUGCUCAAAUCGUGUGCUCGCCUUUAAAAACAAAAAAGCCGUUCAACGGCUUUUUAUUUAGGAGCAAACACAACGCUUCUAGCGAUAGCUAGCUGACCUGCCGCUCGAACCCGCUGAAGGUGCACGGAACAUGAUCGAGGUUUUCCCGACCAGGAAUUGUCGGAAGUGAACCACCCGUCAACACGUGGUUCAGUGGUCUGCCCGUUACAACCCCUUUCAGGCCACCAAAACCGAUUCGCUGCUGAUCAUCAUCAUCACUGCUGAGUUUCGCCAACAUCGACACGCCGUAAUCAACGCCGUUCCCGGUCACUGAUAAGCCGGUGAUACUCCGCCCAGCAGUCGAAUCUAUUUUCGGCAACCCCGCAACAAUCAGCUCUACUUUGCCGACGUAAGCAGAAAUGGUACUCCGUUCAACGGCUUUUUAUUUAGGAGCAAACACAACGCUUCUAGCGAUAGCUAGCUGACCUGCCGCUCGAACCCGCUGAAGGUGCACGGAACAUGAUCGAGGUUUUCCCGACCAGGAAUUGUCGGAAGUGAACCACCCGUCAACACGUGGUUCAGUGGUCUGCCCGUUACAACCCCUUUCAGGCCACCAAAACCGAUUCGCUGCUGAUCAUCAUCAUCACUGCUGAGUUUCGCCAACAUCGACACGCCGUAAUCAACGCCGUUCCCGGUCACUGAUAAGCCGGUGAUACUCCGCCCAGCAGUCGAAUCUAUUUUCGGCAACCCCGCAACAAUCAGCUCUACUUUGCCGACGUAAGCAGAAAUGGUACUGUAAGAGCAAACGCACCAAUAAGUGAGUAUACGCGGCCCGGUUUUGCUCAUUUCAGCGGACCGGUUUUGGGAUACACACUCUUUCGCGCACCGGGCGGUAGCAUAAUUAUUUUUAAAUUUAGCAUUGCACUGAGAAAACUUUUGAAGAAAAUCUUAUUCUUAAAUUAAUACGGACCGAGUAAAUUUUCGGAGUCGUCCACCAAACGGCUCUUCUUAGUUACAUGAUCAUUUUUGGUCAUAAAAUACGAUGCUUCGAGUUUGUUUAUCUGAAAUUGAGUGAGAAAGGAAAAAAUGUUAUCAAAAUUCAUAGGUAGAAAAAAGUCCUAAACAAUAUAAAAUACAAAAUAAAUAACUCACCAUCAGAACCAGCAAUUGCACUUUCUCGUUCAAUUCCUGGAUAAAUCCGAAAAAAUGUAACGAAAUUGCGAAUUCAACUGUUUAUUCAAAAAAAAAAAAAUCCAUCCACAAUUUUAAUCUCAUACACAUUUUUUCUUAAAAUGAAUAUCAACAAACAUCCACACGCUGCGACGUCGUUUGUUUAAUUCUGCUUAAAUCUUCAACUUCUUUUUCUGUCCAACGUGCUGACUGAAAUAGUUGCUGCUCCGAAAAACUGGGUCCCAUUAGUUGCAAACUUAUUGAGAGACCUCGUUUCGAAAGCCGAAUUGGUAGGGACAGUAAUGGAAUGCCACCCAUACGGUUGGAUACAAAAAUCCUGCACAGCGCAUUGGUCUCGAUUAUUAUUACUCCGAAAAAAAAAUCCUUGAAGCUUUACUCAAGGUUGUGGGAGUCAGUAAAAUGUUUACUACACGGAUUGCACAAUCAAAAUUUUCAGAAAGCAAUCGUCGGACUUGAAGGGCUUUUCGGAAAUAUUUCAUGGAAUUAGUUUUUGCGCAAUAAAAAAAGUUUCCGCUUUGCGUUCGUUUGUUUAAUUCUGCUUAAAACGGUAGAAUUUUUUCAGUGCAUGUUUGAUCUCGCCCCUUUCUAGUGAGCAAAUUUGGUGAUUUUGUCGGUCCCGACGGCAACGGCCCUAUUUUGCUCACCUUCAUACUAACCCCCGGUGCGGUAUGGAAGUGAUCAAACUCGUGAGCAUUUUCACUUUGCUCGCGAUUGCUGCGGAUGCCCUAAGUACAAACUAAAAAUAACCCAUGCGCAUGUGAAGGAGAUAUUUUGGCCAUUCUAAAAUUAGCCACACACAGUUUUUUGGAAACCCUUUCAGUCACGAGGUUUCCCAGUUGAGAAGGCUGCGCCAAUAACAGCCCAUUCUCACCCACUAAGCACACGUAGGGAAAGCAGAAAAAGGAACCAAAAAGCUAAUAAUGUAAUCCUAGGUAAAAAUUCAAAUAAAAACUUAGCUUAAGAUUGUACAAAAAUGUAAAAAUUGUCAUCUUUUCGUUAAUUCCGUCUCAAUACAAACUUUUUCAACCGCCAAUAAUGUAUUUUGUUGAAAAAUAAGAGAAUUCAUGCUUUCCCAGAACAUUAAGUCUGAUUGAAAAAGGUGAUUUCACGUGUUUAUCCGUUCGUUUUUUAGUUUCUAGUUUUUUGUAGUUUGUUUUUUUGCUUCGGGAAGAACUGCUCGAGAAAACAGUUCCCUCGCUUAUGCUUCGGUCAC